UUUCUGCAUCUUCACUAAGGACGGUUUUCAGGAGUAAAGGUGCAGAGGCAAAUAUAAACCUUACAAAGAACAUUUCAGUUGUUGAACCAUGGAAGUUUUUUAUUAUCAAUCUUUGAAGCUUGUGGAGUAGUCCUAGUGUCCUGUAGGCUGGUCCUUCAAAAUGGUUUACAUUUACUUCGAUGCCACCUUUCUUCUUCGAGNNNNN
rnacentral:lncRNA from 1 species